CUCGGGCUUUCUCUUGGCUGUUUCUCUCCAGUUGAACUUGGACCACUGAAAGCAGAGAGCUGGAAGUGGAGGAGUGGGGAAGGAGAGAUUCUGCAGUUCAGCUGAGCCAGUGUUGUCAGAAGUAGCCAGUGAGCCCCCGCAAGGAGAUUUCAGCUGUCCAACACAACUCACCUAGACCCUGAUUUUCAAAGGCACUUGUAGUGACUUUGAUGAGAAUUACAAACAAUUCCCACUUCUGGUCCAAGGUCUUUGCAGCACCAGAGGCCGCUGAUCGCUGAUAAACGCUGUGCUUAAUACUGACAGUGAACUUGCCUUACGUGAGCCAUUCUCACCUUUGCCAAGAGAUCUGUUAAAUUUUACAGGAGCAGUUAUUACAUUGACCAAAUGAGGCCUCUACACUCAAACCAAACAUUGGAAGGAGGCAGCGGCUCAGCAUGUUGCAGCGGAACUGUACCUACUGACUGUGAUGGAGUCAUCUAAACCGAGUGGCAACAAGCCAGCAAGGCAGCAGGAACAGUUGAAGCAUCAUCUACACCCUUUUAUGGUUGCUGAACUCUCCUGCCCAGAGGGACAAACCCGAUUGCCCCAAGCACGGCGAGGUCUCACAAGCUCCAAGUGUGAAGUGAAACAUGAGGCUUUUGCAGCAGAGAGACACACGCAGCAGGUCAUCUUUGGGCUCUCCGAAUACUUGCAGCUCAGGGUCGCUCUCUGGAAACAUGGCAGAGCUGACGUGCUGCACGGAGCUGUGCCUCUGCUGAGGGUAUUUAUUCCCCCAGAAACAUCUCCCAAAAGGUUCUGGCUUGGCACAGGCUUGGCUAAGUCGGGUAUCAUUUACAAUCUGAAACUGUAAACUGUAAGUGCCUUUAUACAAUGUAACUAUUGCUGCUUGAUGUCCAAUAGCUGUACGGUUUGUCCAUAAAACACAUACUCAAGUCACGAACAUGCUUUUCCUACCCUCAUAAAAUAUCUAGAGAGACAUAUAUCCCCCGAGGAAUUCUGGAACUCGCAUAGAAAUGGUAGCGGCAUUGCUCCUCAGUGUACUUUUUCCUUGGUUCUUUGGCUUAUUCUCAAGUUGAAAUUUUCUCUUUUCUGCAGGCAGUGGUUUGUAAAAUGUCCAGAUUCUGCUCUUUUAUGUAGCGGGAAUUUUACAUUAUGCCUUUAAAACAGUCCAGCAAGUUUAAAUUAGCUUUGUCAUGAUGGUUCCUGGUAUGUUCCCAGUUAAAUCUGAAGUAAAACUCUCCCUACAUUCAGGUGGAGCAGGAUUAGGCUUUAAAUUUAAGAUUCCAGACACGAUGAAGUCUCACUAAUACAAGUACUUAUUCCUCAUUUCAAAUUAUCUUUUUAUAUUCAUACUGGCAUCUAGAGGUAUCUAUUGCAUUAUGAUAAAAUAAGUAAAUGAUUAAAUGGGCAUGUGUAUAGUUUUGUUCCACUGUUUUAUAAUGAUGCCUAUAAAAUGAGUCCAAAUAAAUCCAUCACACAUCUCUUUA